UAUGAAAGCCGUUUGUACCCGAAGUCACCCUCAAAAGGUGCCGAAGGUAUGGAUGGUGAUUGGAGUG
rnacentral:rRNA from 1 species